rnacentral:rRNA from 1 species
GACGAACGCUGGCGGCGUGCCUAAUACAUGCAAGUAGAACGCUGAAGGGAGAGCUUGCUCUUCUGGAUAAGUUUCGCAAGGGUGAGUAACGCGUAGGUAACCUGCCUGGUAGCGGGGGGGAACUAUUGUAAACGCUAGCUAUUACCGCAUAACAGUAGAUGUUGCAUGACAUUUACUUAAAAGAUGCAAUUGCAUCCCUACCAGAUGGACAUGCGGUGUAUUAGCUAGUUGGUGUGGUAAUGGCUCACCUAGGCGACGAUACAUAGCCGACCUGAGAGGGGGAGCGGCCACACUGGGACUGAGACACGGCCCAGACUCCUACGGGAGGCAGCAGUAGGGAGUCUUCGGCAAUGGGGGCAACCCUGACCGAGCAACGCCGCGUGAGUGAAGAAGGUUUUCGGAUCGUAAAGCUCUGUUGUAAGUCAAGAACGGGUGUGAGAGUGGAAAGUUCACACUGUGACGGUAGCUUACCAGAAAGGGACGGCUAACUCCGUG